GCGGCGGGCCGCUACUGGCGCGGGUGGGUUACCACCGGGGAACGGCCGUACCACCGUCGAUGCCGACCGCCUGGGCCUGCGAC
rnacentral:ncRNA from 2 species